rnacentral:tRNA from 1 species
ACUUAAAUAGUUUAAUAAAAAUUUUGAUUUGUGGAUUCAAGGAUACUAAUAUGUUUUAAGUU